rnacentral:rRNA from 1 species
UGGGGAAUUUUGGACAAUGGGCGAAAGCCUGAUCCAGCAAUGCCGCGUGCGGGAUGACGGCCUUCGGGUUGUAAACCGCUUUCAGCAGGGACGAAGGUUUUCUGACGGUACCUGCAGAAGAAGCACCGGCUAACUACGUGCCAGCAGCCGCGGUGAUACGUAGGGUGCGAGCGUUGUCCGGAAUUAUUGGGCGUAAAGAGCUUGUAGGCGGUCCGUUGCGUCGGAAGUGAAAAACUCAGGGCUUAACCCUGAGCCUGCUUUCGAUACGGGCGGACUUGAGGGAUGUAGGGGAGAACGGAAUUCCUGGUGGAGCGGUGGAAUGCGCAGAUAUCAGGAGGAACACCAGUGGCGAAGGCGGUUCUCUGGACAUUUCCUGACGCUGAGAAGCGAAAGCGUGGGGAGCAAAACAGGCUUAGAUACCCUGGUAGUCCACGCCGUAAACGGUGGGCACUAGGUGUGGGACCCAUUCCACGGGUUCCAUGCCGUAGCUAACGCAUUAAGUGCCCCGCCUGGGGAGUACGGCCGCAAGGCUAAAAA